AUUGAACGCUGGCGGCAGGCCUAACACAUGCAAGUCGAACGAGUGGCGGACGGUUGAGCAAUGUCUGGGACACUGUCCGAUGGAGGGGGAUACCUAAUGGAAACGUUAGCUAAUACCGCACAACAUCGGAUGUGGCCAGAUGGGAUGAGCUAGUAGGUGGGGUAACGGCUCACCUAGGCGACGUACCCUAGCUGGUCUGAGAGGAUGACCAGCCACACUGGAACUGAGACACGGUCCAGACUCCUACGGGAGGCAGCAGUGGGGAAUAUUGCACAAUGGGCGCAAGCCUGAUGCAGCCAUGCCGCGUGUAUGAAGAAGGCCUUCGGGUUGUAAAGUACUUUCAGCGAGGAGGCGUUACUCGCAGAAGAAGCACCGGCUAACUCCGUGCCAGCAGCCGCGGUAAUUC
rnacentral:rRNA from 1 species